rnacentral:lncRNA from 1 species
CAUCAACCAUCAAUAUAUCGCCAUCUUCGUCACAUUUCCUUGAGAUCCCUUUCUCUAAGGUCAUCAUCAACUUCGCUCAAGCCUAAGAAACGGGAUGGUGUUGUGGAUGCAAGAAUAAUAAUAUUAUCUUGAAAUUCUCUAUCACCAAUCUAACCAUCCAAAAUAACUUGCAGGUACUUUUUAGUUUUGUCUUCAUCUUCAUACUACAAUUUAUGUCGGCAGAGGGGACAAGUAUUACUCUAAUUGAGCCAAGGGACAAUACAACAAUUAUGAAAGAAAUGCUUACAAGGCAAUUGACUCACUUUCGAUUCAAUUACAAAUUCCUCCAUACAAGUCGAACAACUUUUUGAUGAUUCAUCGAUUUUCAUACGUGGGAGUGAAUCCACAAACAAUUUAAGAGUUGGAUAACAACACUGAGAUGGGUUAAAAAAACUCAAAAGAAUGAUCAUUGAAAUCGGUCAAAUCAACAUCGAAAUCAGAAGAAUCAAAAGUAAAAGAAUUGAGUGUUGAAGGGGCAAAAUUGACGGUAGAAGAUUGAGAAGGCAAUAUAAUAUUGAUAAUGGUGUAAUUAAGGAGGAGGUGGCGAUGAAAGCAUUAAGAGAAACGGAAGGAACCCAUCACCCGGAGGUGAUGGGGAUGAUGUGAAAGACAUCGUUGCAAUUGUAGCAUCCGUAAGAAAGACGGUUAGAGGCGGUGAAGAAGGUGGCUCCAUUGACAUGUAACUUUGUUAUUCUCUCUCCUCUUUUUUUUAUUAAAAAAAAACUUUUCUAACUUUUCUUAUUUUAAUUUUGUAGAAGGUCAUUAAUACCCUAAUGCGUUAUAUGGUUCAUGAAUAAGAUGGGA